UGAGGAAUAUUGGGCAAUGCCCGCAAGGGUGACCCAGCAACGCCGCGUGGAGGAUGAAUGUCGUAAGAUUGUAAACUCCUGUUAGAGGGGAAGAAUAGUACCGGUUGGACCGGUAUAUGACUGUACCCUCAGAGAAAGCCCCGGCUAACUACGUGCCAGCAGCCGCGGUAAUACGUAGGGGGCAAGCGUUGUCCGGAUUUACUGGGUGUAAAGGGCGCGCAGGCGGGAUAAAAAGUCAGUGGUGAAAUCCUACAGCUUAACUGUAGAACUGCCUUUGAUACUUUUAUUCUUGAGUUCGGGAGAGAGAGACGGAAUUCCAGGUGUAGUGGUGAAAUACGUAGAUAUCUGGAAGAACACCAGUUGCGAAGGCGGUCUCUUGGUCCGACACUGACGCUGAGGCGCGAAAGCGUGAGGAGCAAACA
rnacentral:rRNA from 1 species